GAUGAACGCUGGCGGCGUGCCUAAUACAUGCAAGUCGAGCGAACGGACGAGAAGCUUGCUUCUCUGAUGUUAGCGGCGGACGGGUGAGUAACACGUGGAUAACCUACCUAUAAGACUGGGAUAACUUCGGGAAACCGGAGCUAAUACCGGAUAAUAUUUUGAACCGCAUGAUUCAAAAGUGAAAGACGGUCUUGCUGUCACUUAUAGAUGGAUCCGCGCUGCAUUAGCUAGUUGGUAAGGUAACGGCUUACCAAGGCAACGAUGCAUAGCCGACCUGAGAGGGUGAUCGGCCACACUGGAACUAAGACACGGUCCAGACUCCUACGGGAGGCAGCAGUAGGGAAUCUUCCGCAAUGGGCGAAAGCCUGACGGAGCAACGCCGCGUGAGUGAUGAAGGUCUUCGGAUCGUAAAACUCUGUUAUUAGGGAAGAACAUAUGUGUAAGUAACUGUGCACAUCUUGACGGUACCUAAUCAGAAAGCCACGGCUAACUACGUG
rnacentral:rRNA from 1 species